UCCGUAGGUGGAUAAUUAAGUCAGAGGUGGAAUCCUGCAGCUCAACUGUAGAAUUGCCUUUGAUACUGGUUAUCUUGAGUCAUUAUGAAGUGGUUAGAAUGUGUAGUGUAGCGGUGAAAUGCAUAGAUAUUACACAGAAUACCGAUUGCGAAGGCAGAUCACUAAUAAUGUACUGACACUGAGGGACGAAAGCGUGGGGAGCGAACAGGAUUAGAUACCCUGGUAGUCC
rnacentral:rRNA from 1 species